rnacentral:rRNA from 1 species
AACGAACGCUGGCGGCAGGCUUAACACAUGCAAGUCGAACGCCCCGCAAGGGGAGUGGCAGACGGGUGAGUAACGCGUGGGAAUCUACCCAGAUCUUCGGAACAACACAGGGAAACUUGUGCUAAUACCGGAUACGCCCUACGGGGAAAGAUUUAUCGGAUUUGGAUGAGCCCGCGUUGGAUUAGCUAGUUGGUGAGGUAAUGGCUCACCAAGGCGACGAUCCAUAGCUGGUCUGAGAGGAUGAUCAGCCACACUGGGACUGAGACACGGCCCAGACUCCUACGGGAGGCAGCAGUGGGGAAUAUUGGACAAUGGGCGAAAGCCUGAUCCAGCCAUGCCGCGUGAGUGAUGAAGGCCUUAGGGUUGUAAAGCUCUUUUAGUGGGGAAGAUAAUGACGGUAUCCACAGAAAAAGCCCCGGCUAACUUCGUGCCAGCCGCCGCAGUAA